AACGAACGCUGGCGGCGCGCCUAAUACAUGCAAGUCGAGCGAGAAGACGUAGCAAUACGUUUGUAAAGCGGCGAACGGGUGAGGAAUACAUGGGUAACCUACCCUCGAGUGGGGAAUAACCAGCCGAAAGGUUAGCUAAUACCGCGUACGCUCCUUGGACUUCGGUUCAGGGAGGAAAGCGAUACCGUGGGUAUCGCGCUCUUGGAUGGGCUCAUGUCCUAUCAGCUUGUUGGUGAGGAACGGCUCACCAAGGCUUCGACGGGUAGCUGGUCUGAGAGGACGAUCAGCCACACUGGCACUGCGACACGGGCCAGACUCCUACGGGAGGCAGCAGUAAGGAAUAUUGCGCAAUGGGCGAAAGCCUGACGCAGCGACGCCGCGUGGGGGAUGAAGGU
rnacentral:rRNA from 1 species